rnacentral:snRNA from 1 species
GUGCUAGCUUUGGCAGCACAUAUGCUAAAAUUGGAAUGAUGCAGAUAAGAUUAACAUGGCCCUGUGCAGGAUGACAUGUACAUUUGUGAAGGAUUCCAUAUUUUU